rnacentral:rRNA from 1 species
UACGUAGGGGGCGAGCGUUGUCCGGAUUUAUUGGGCGUAAAGAGCGUGUAGGCGGCCAGGUAGGUCCGUUGUGAAAACUCGAGGCUCAACCUCGAGCUGUCGGUGGAAACUGUCUGGCUAGAGUCCGGAAGAGGAGAAUGGAAUUCCUGGUGUAGCGGUGAAAUGCGCAGAUAUCAGGAAGAACACCCGUGGCGAAGGCGGUUCUCUGGGACGGUACUGACGCUGAGACGCGAAAGCGUGGGGAGCGAACAGG